CUUUUGAGGUUUGAAUUCCAUCAUUUUUUAACAUAUCAAAAGAAAGAGAUCUUUCUUUUGCUGGUAUUUUCUCUUUAUAGUUUGUACAUUUAAUAAUUUUUUUGAUGUUGGGGUCGGUGUAGGUUUCGAAAAGGCAAUUUAUGAGAAGGAAACAUGAAAAAGAAGAGAAAGAAGCAAAGAAUGAAGAGAAAGAUAAUACUGAAAGUGAACAAGACAAACAAGAAGAAUAAGACGAAGAUGAAGAAGGACAAGAUGAGGCAGACGUAAAUGAAGAAUGUAAUUUAAGAACGAAAGAAACAAGUGAAACAAAUGAAGAAUCAAUGGAGAAUAGAAAGAGAAAAAAAAGAUAUAGCUAAGAGAAAGAAGGUCAAGAGUGCUAACAAGGAAGAAAAUGCCAAAGAGGAUAGAAGACAAAAAGGGAAAGCAAACACAAGAAAAAGCUGAGCUCCAAUUGUUUCUGCAACCGAUGGAAGAUUUGAAUGGGACGAAAGGUUUCAAAGAUUUGUUUUCGGUGGAAUCUAUGGAAGCAGAAGAUAGGGAACCUGGAAUUUUUUCGACUUUGAAGAGUUUCAAGGGUUUCAAGAAUGUUGUUCGAUGACCCUCUUUCCCUCAACGUUUGAAUACCUUAAGUGUUGAAAGGUUUGAAAGAUGUGAAGAGAUUGAUGACAUUUGAAUGCCAGAACGUCCACAAUUUGAAGAUGAUAUGAAACGGUGCAGAAAGUAUGUGGAGCUUUGAUGGUGAUAGAUGUUAACUUUCGGGUUUUGGAGGAAAAUUAGAAUUUUGGUAGGUAUUAGUUGUGUGUGGGAGUUUGAUUAAUUAUAGGGUAUUUGUGGUUUAUUGACUAAUUGUAUUUAGGAUUCUAGUUUUUAACUUUGGUAGGGGCA